rnacentral:rRNA from 1 species
UAGGGAAUCUUCCGCAAUGGGCGAAAGCCUGACGGAGCAACGCCGCGUGAGUGAUGAAGGUCUUCGGAUCGUAAAACUCUGUUAUUAGGGAAGAACAAAUGUGUAAGUAACUAUGCACGUCUUGACGGUACCUAACCAGAAAGCCACGGCUAACUACGUGCCAGCAGCCGCGGUAAUACGUAGGUGGCAAGCGUUAUCCGGAAUUAUUGGGCGUAAAGCGCGCGUAGGCGGUUUUUUAAGUCUGAUGUGAAAGCCCACGGCUCAACCUUGGAGGGGCAUUGGAAACUGGAAAACUUGAGUGCGGAAGAGGAAAGUGGAAUUCCAAGUGUAGCGGUGAAAUGCGCAGAGAUAUGGAGGAACACCAGUGGCGAAGGCGACUGUCUGGUCUGUAACUGACGCUGAUGUGCGAAAGCGUGGGGAGCAAACAGG